GAUGAACGCUAGCGGCAGGCCUAACACAUGCAAGUCGAGGGGUAACAGGGAGUGCUUGCACUCCGCUGACGACCGGCGCACGGGUGCGCACCGCGUAUGGAAUCUGCCUCUUGCAGGGGAAUAGCCCAGGGAAACUUGGAUUAAUGCCCCGUGGUACCUUUCUAUAGCAUUAUAUUAAGGUUAAAGCCUUCGGGCGGCAAGAGAUGACCAUGCGUCCCAUUAGCUUGAUGGUAAGGUAACGGCUUACCAUGGCUACGAUGGGUAGGGGCCCUGAGAGGGGGAUCCCCCACACUGGUACUGAGACACGGACCAG
rnacentral:rRNA from 1 species